rnacentral:lncRNA from 1 species
AUGAUUAUACAAUUGUGUAGGGCACGUGAAGUGCAGAUAGCUGUAAGCUGUUAAUCUGUUAUUGGUAAACAACGAUCAAGGCAAGUUUCUUACCCUAUUUUUCAUUAUGAAUUUAUUCAACUCUUAUUCAGUUGAUUGCAGCGAGGGUAAGUUUGGGCUUGUGAUUAAGUAAUCAUUCGUGCAAGCUCCUCUAUUAUAAAGUUCUAUAACUUCAAUUGUGAUGCGAAACGUUAUUGAUGAUUAUUCAGUUCCUAUUGUAACUGCUAUACUUUAAAGUUUGUAUACCCUUAAUGAACUAUAUUCAAGCAUGCUUUCUAGCUUUCGUUUCAGCUAGAUGUUAUUGAUG